AAGGAAUAUUGGACAAUGGACGAAAGUCUGAUCCAGCCAUGUCGCGUGAAGGAUGAAUGUCCUCUGGAUUGUAAACUUCUUUUAUAUGGGACGAAAAAAGGGAAUUCUUUCUCACUUGACGGUACCAUAUGAAUAAGCACCGGCUAACUCCGUGCCAGCAGCCGCGGUAAUACGGAGGGUGCAAGCGUUAUCCGGAUUUACUGGGUUUAAAGGGUGCGUAGGCGGAUAGGUAAGUCAGAGGUGAAAUC
rnacentral:rRNA from 1 species